rnacentral:rRNA from 1 species
UGGGGAAUAUUGCACAAUGGGCGCAAGCCUGAUGCAGCCAUGCCGCGUGUAUGAAGAAGGCCUUCGGGUUGUAAAGUACUUUCAGCGGGGAGGAAGGGAGUAAAGUUAAUACCUUUGCUCAUUGACGUUACCCGCAGAAGAAGCACCGACUAACUCCGUGCCAGCAGCCGCGGUAAUACGGAGGGUGCAAGCGUUAAUCGGAAUUACUGGGCGUAAAGCGCACGCAGGCGGUUUGUUAAGUCAGAUGUGAAAUCCCCGGGCUCAACCUGGGAACUGCAUCUGAUACUGGCAAGCUUGAGUCUCGUAGAGGGGGGUAGAAUUCCAGGUGUAGCGGUGAAAUGCGUAGAGAUCUGGAGGAAUACCGGUGGCGAAGGUGGCCCCCUGGACGAAGACUGACGCUCAGGUGCGAAAGCGUGGGGAGCAAACAGG